rnacentral:rRNA from 1 species
UACGUAGGGGGCUAGCGUUGUCCGGAAUCAUUGGGCGUAAAGCGCGCGUAGGCGGCCCGGUAAGUCCGUUGUGAAAGUCAAAGGCUCAACCUUUGAAAGCCGAUGGAUACUGCCGGGCUAGAGUCCGGAAGAGGCGAGUGGAAUUCCGGGUGUAGUGGUGAAAUGCGUAGAUAUCCGGAGGAACACCAGUGGCGAAAGCGGCCACCUGGACUGUACCUGACGCUCAAACGCGAAAGCGAGGGGAGCGAACGGG